GUACACACCGCCCGUCGCUCGUACCGACUGAAUAGAGGUAUGAAUUUGAUGGACCAGCGUGGCGCUAAGCCAUGCGAGAAAAUCAACUGAAUUUCUCUAUUUGUAGGAACGAGAAGUCGUAACAAGGUCUUCGUAGGUGAACCUGCAGAAGGAUCA
rnacentral:rRNA from 1 species